CCUACGGGAGACAGCAGUGAGGAAUAUUGGUCAAUGGACGAGAGUCUGAACCAGCCAAGUAGCGUGAAGGAUGACUGCCCUAUGGGUUGUAAACUUCUUUUAUAUGGGAAUAAAAUGUUCCACGUGUGGGAUUUUGUAUGUACCAUAUGAAUAAGGAUCGGCUAACUCCGUGCCAGCAGCCGCGGUAAUACGGAGGAUCCGAGCGUUAUCCGGAUUUAUUGGGUUUAAAGGGAGCGUCGGUGGAUUGUUAAGUCAGUUGUGAAAGUUUGCGGGUCAACCGUAAAAUUGCAGUUGAAACUGGCAGUCUUGAGUACAGUAGAGGUGGGCGGAAUUCGUGGUGUAGCGGUGAAAUGCUUAGAUAUCACGAAGAACUCCGAUUGCGAAGGCAGUUCACUGGACUGCAACUGACACUGAGGCUCGAAAGUGUGGGUAUCAAACAGGAUUAGAUACCCCAGUAGUC
rnacentral:rRNA from 1 species